ACAGGGCAGAAUGAACCAAUGUUACAGUACCAUGGAAUCUGGUCUCAGCUCUUCCUCCACCCUUCUCUCAGACCAUGGAGGGCAGUUUGUUGGGUGUGGUGACACAGAAUCUAUCUGUGAGGACUGCAAACGACCCAUUUUCCUAACACCAUUAAACUGAAGAAUGAUGGAAAUGGGGGUGAAUGGGCCCAACCUAAAGCCCUAAGGUGGCUGAGUGAUUAGUAAGUCAGGGCAAAUUUGGAGCCGAUCCUGUGAAGGAAACCACCUCACCCCCGCACUUCAUGGAAUGGUUUCUGGUUGAGCUUCUUGGCUCUUCAUCCACUUUUAAUAAUGACCAGAGCGUGUCUGAGCAGAGCUCGCUGCAUGUGCUAGGGUGCUUUAUAGGCACGGCCCCAGUUCAUUUUUACAACGGUCGGUUCACAAACCCCGGGCCAAUCCCAUUUCCAAUGUACUGCCGAGGCUCAGAGAAGUAGAGAGACUUGCCCAGGAGCAGACAAUCGACGAGUACCUCCUAAACCCACAUCUGUGCAGUUGAAGAGAAGCUCUGGACGGAAUGGAGAGAAGGCAUCAGGCUGGAGGAGAGAGGUCAUAUGUAUUCUGUAACAGCCCUUUGUUCCCUAAUCUAACACUGCCCAAUACUGGCAACUCUGCACUUGUUAUAGACUUGAAGCUAGGAUGCGCCAACAAGCUCAGUGCUUCUGCAAAGAGACAGCUAAAACAAAACCUUAAUACAUAAAAGAUAAGCAUAGCCCAGUUCAUUAAGUGGCUAGCUAAAGAAUGUGCCUGACAAUUGUCAGUUGUUUUCUCUUUUCCCAUCCCUCAUCUCUGGCUGCCAUGUCCCUUUGGGGUCCCUCAGUGACUCUCAGAUUGUUCCCAAGAGAGAACCUUCUAUGCCACCUGGAGGACACUUUACUGGGUGUUCUGAGAAGAAACCUUGGGAGGCUGAGAACUGAGGGAAGAAGGCUGCUAAGAAAGGCAGGUCACUGUCCGGAAGUCAAAGGUGAUGGAUGCCAGCAACCACUAUGCCUACCUAAGACAUUCAUCCCGUCCUUGAACUCCAGGCCCUUCUUGAUAACGAUCUUGGUUUCUUCAGGGGCCUCGUUCAUGGUUUCAUUCAACAUGGAGAUGACAGCCUUGGUUGUAUUGGCCUCCUCAGAUGGAGGUGCCACCAGAACUUUCUUUGUCACUGUUUGAAUCUAAUGGAACAGGAAGAAAAAAAGAAUAAAGAUGAAAGUUAGUCUAAAAGGUCAACAGCAACCCAGCCAGCCAGCCAGCCAUACACUUGAACCUUCCCAAGAUGUUAACUAAAACUGGGAAAUAUUUUAUGA
rnacentral:lncRNA from 1 species